CAUGUAACUUGGUCUGGAUUGAUGUAGUGUGCAGUGCCGUGGUCAGAAGUUGACAAAAACACUGAGCCAAUCAAAGAGCAGGAGGCCACCAUGCAAGAAUCGUUUGACCUUCAGCACAAAGACUCAAUCAGAAACAUGAGCAGACAGCAGGCUUCACAUUUUAAAUAAAGAAAAUUGACUUUUUUGUCCCUGGUUAAUGAAGAUUAAUUGAGUGGCUUCUUUGCAUUUGGAAGUCUUUAUUAUUGCACAGCCUUCAAGCAGAUUCAGUAAAGGACAGGUCAGACCCGUGUGCACAAGUGCCUCUUGUAGGAGAAUUAAUUAUAUUUGGUUUGGAAGUCGUGAUACCUUGACUGUAGACAGCUGGAUGAGCAGAGGUUUAAGGGACAAGGGGGUUACAAGUCACACCCCCUCUUUGCACUCGGGAUAGUUCACUAACACUUCUCUGUGUCAUAUCAGUUAUGGCAACUUCCAGAAUUCAUUGGCCCAAUCCAGAGAUUAUGUUAUUGAGUUUCCCAAGUUUGUGUAAACUGAUAUCCUAAUUUAGUUCUCUGUGUUUGCACACCUGGAGGGUGGGUAAAUCAGGGCUCCUUGUUUGUUUGAAUGCAAUGGGGGUGCAAACUUGGUUCAUUGCUAGGUGUCGUGUGUGGAAUUUUUAGGAUGUGGCUCCUGUCUUCACCAAAUGACCAUAUUUGGUGGUUACCUCUCAUUAGUGCUCCUCACUACUGAGAACAUGGACUUGAUCACCUUGGUUGAGAGAGCAGUCCUGGCUACAACAUGUGGCCAUUACUCCUCCCUAAAAACAGACACAGUGUUGGACUGUGGGCUGUUUCUUGACAUUACUGGGAGACAUGACAGUAAAUUCCUCCCACCACACUAUGCCUCCACUGGGUUUCUUCAUUUUCGGAAUAAAUGAGAGAAAAUAAACAUACAGGAAGUUGAACAUUGUAAGUCCGGUGAAGAGGUGAUUGAGGAUACAUGCAGACAAAUUGUUUCACUGGUGUCCUCUUUUGACCCAAAUUAUAGAAAACCAACCUAUGUGAAAGCAUGACCACCAUAAAGAUUGGGACUAUGAACUGUGGGACCAGCAAGUCAUCCAUCCUUACAGGGCCAGCUGUAGGCACAGGUGAUAAGGACUGUCACCUAGGGUGCAAUCCAUUUGUGGGUUGGUGGGAUGCCAAACGAAGGGGGAAAAAAGUAAUGUGAUAUGUCCUGUCCAUGGUAGUCAUUGGGCAGACAACUGGUCCCCAAUAACCUCAUGACUCAAGUGGUUUUAACUGUCUUCAUCAGACACAUGAAGGAUUCUUGUAAAGGCUAAUCAUUAGAAGCAACGAUGCUAACAGGGCUGACCACUCAUGAAUAUUCAUGGUGAGCAGGCACCAGUGGAACUUUUAGCCAGGGUGGGAAGGGAGGUAGUAUGUAGAAUCUACUAAUUUAUUGGCUGGCAUUUGGCUCCAAUCUGGCAUUGGUUUCCCUCUCUGAAUGGGGAUAUUUUCCACCGUGUUGCAAUACACAUUGUCGGCCACACGUCGAACAGUACCUGAAUACGGAGGAACGGGCUCCUGCCAGCUCCUCAAUUUUCCCUCAGAGUACGCCAGACAGACCAAGCAAUCUGCCAAGGAGAGCUCCAUUUGUCUCGCCUGUUCCCGUGGCAACUGCCAGACAGCGGCUCUGUGGCUGAUAUCUUCAUUUUGGUUAACGAGGAGGCUCAGUGCUAUUUGCACUGCGGCAACAGGGAGAUUCACUUGGCUCCCAUGACAAAGGGGAAAUAUGAGGGCGAGGAGGAGAAAGAGGAGAAGGAGAUCACACACUAGGGAAUGCUCACUCUCAAAGCAGUCCAGGUUGGACAUAGGCCAGUAUUCUGACCAGAAACUAAGGAGACAUUUCACUCCAAUGGGUCCAGGUGAGAAUGAAACUUAAGUCUCUCAACAACAUAUGUAAAUGCAUAGACAAACAUACACACAGCCUCACACAGACAGACACACAAAAAACUCAAAUAAUGUAUAUAUUGGCACAUAGACACACAUGCAUACAUGCACAGUAAUUAAAGAGGAUUGUUUUUCCUUAGUUAUGUGUAGGAGGGACCGCUUGUAGUUACACACAACACAGAGCUAUGUUGAGACAGCAAACUUUCCCAGAGGAAAGCAAAAACAGCUAUUAUCUUCCCUGCGAGGAAGAACGCACCUCCUUGUCAUCUGCCUCGACGCUCUGAGCACCCUGGCCCUCCAUUUGUUCUCAGUGGUAGCCUGCAGCCUUCGAGCCUCCUGUGACGCACACACUGGAUCACAGAGCCUCGUGCAGGGGGAGGAAGUGGCCUGAAGUACACCACAACUUCCUGUAAAGCUUUUGAUGCCUGAAACAAGCCACCAAGCAACCACUCCCUGGCAACAGUCUCACUAUAUCUGCUACUAACUGUGACUUGAACAACAGUUACACUUGAAUUUCAGACCAGGCUGAAACAACCAGCUGCCACCAAGUUGACAGGCAGUGGCUGUUAAAUGGGCUGAUGUAAUCUUCGGAGCAUUGAACCAGUGCUGAAGAAUUAGAGGCAGCACUGCUGUGGUUAUUUGAGACUACUAAUCACUUCAUGUUCCUGGAUGGGCAUUGGGUUCUACUAACCACUGCCAAUUUCUGAGUGGAUAUCGGAGGCUACUGAUCAUUUUUCAGAGAACAGCUCCUUAUGGCCUCUGCAGUUCCUUCUUAAUCCAGGUCCGAGUAAAGGACUCAUAACUUGCAAGAACAAAGAUCCACUCUUACUUGUGACGUGUGUCCUGGAAAUGGGGGACGGGAGUUGGG